UUUUCUUGCUUAGCAUCAUUGGUAAAGAUGGCGGCUGAUCUGAAGGUGGUGCUUGCCGCACUGCUGAGAGACAUUUCAGAAAGGAGCUCCUGCGAAAACUUAGCUGAAGCGAAAGCGAUUUUAAGCGCUACGCGCGCAGAAAAUAUUUAUAACGUAUCGAAAGACCUUGACCUGAGCCCUUUGUUCAGCUGUUCUAGCAAGUUUAACGGGAAUACUUUAGAUGAACUUAGUGAGCUGCUGGGGAAGCUGCUUGAUGCGUUUCCACCAUCUGCAUUACUUUCUGCUCACAAGCAGCACUUUGUGACUGCAUUGAGUACUUCUGAUGGGGCACUGAAAGCAGUCGUCUUGCGCCAGCUGAUUCGAUGCUCGAAAGACAAUGCCAUGUUGUCUCAGCUUGCUCAUGACCACCGUAUCCUUGAAUCUGUUUUGAGGCUACUCGGUGGUGAGGACCUUUGGUCAUCGAAACAGAGUGCUAUUCUGCUGAAACAAAUGACACGGGAAAAGGAAGUACUAAGUUCCAUGCUGCAUCCCCCCGUGUCACAUGUCCUGGACAGCGUUAUGGAUGGUGGUGAUGUGUGUUGCUUUAGAGUGUUUGAGGUCUUCGUGGAAGUGGCAAGGGCUUCUCCUGAAAACCUUGAACGGCUUUCAGAGAGUGGCUAUCUGGAGAGGCUGGUGAAGGAAAUGGACAAGAAUGAUGUCUUAGUUCAGUUGAAUGCAUUGGAAGUGCUGACUGACCUUGUGUCUUGCAGCCAUGGCUUGGAUUAUCUUGAGCGAACUGGCAUCAUAUCCAAGCUCCGUCAGAAGGCUCUAAACAUUGGUUCCGACCCCCUUGGCAACUUUCUAGGCCCAGGAGUACUCAAGUUUUUUGGUAGCAUGGGCGUGACCAGUCCACAGCGGCUGCUACUUGAUUACCCUCAAGUGUUGGGAUUUAUCUUCGAUAGUGUUCAGAGUGAUGACCCGGCAUUCCAGGUGGUUGCUGCUGAAACAGUAGGCAUCAUCAGCUCCACCAUACAAGGAAAACGCGUCCUUCAGUCACACGGAGAUCAAAUGAGCCGCUACCUAAAAUCAUUAAGCCAAAACCUCCACAGUGGAAAGGUUGACUUCAAGGUCCGAUACCUGGGUGCCCUGGCCAAUGUCCUGCACGUUCAAGACAGCAGCUGUGAAGAUUUGGUGAAUUUGACAGAGCAGUGGUACAGCCUGCUUGGUGAUCGACCCACGGACAUGCUGCUCCGCCUGUGCCGGCAGCCUUUUCCUGAACUGCGUUGUGCAACCCUGGCAGUAAUUGCUGAGGUGGCACGAAUGCCCUGGGGUCAGGCUGCACUAGCAGCACAGCCAGGGUUUCUUGAAUACCUUCUUGAUCGCUCUACUGAGACUGACAAGCCAUGCAAGGAGGCCAAGUUUGCUGUCGUGGCUACCUUAGCUCAGGUGCAACCUCGGGGUUUUGCUGCUGAUGACUGGCAACGCAUCAGGACCACCUACCAAGAGGGUCCCUUCUAUAUGGCCACUGAAGCAGCUGUAACCUUUGAGGGGCUCUCCUGAGAUGCCCAUCUAUCAAGUUUGGCCUUUCCUGGCAUAAUCUGGGUGGGAAACACCAUGGCAAUAUUGCUCAGCAUGACCUUGCACAAUGAUGGCAAUCUUGACUUUUUUGGGCUAUGGUGAGUAAGCUCAAGAUAGUGUGAUUUCAGUAGAACAUUGGUGGUCUAGACGUGCUUUCUGCAGCUCCUUCCCACAGCCACCGGAGCACAUGACAAUGAGGAAAGCUGUCUAAAAAAAUUGUUUUAUUGUACAAUGUCACCAAUGUAAAACAAAUAAAGGGAUCACUUUCUGUCAGAAAAAAAAAU